GCUCCUUUAGGUUAGCGGCGGACGGGUGAGUAACACGUGGGCAACCUGCCCUGCAGACUGGGAUAACUUCGGGAAACCGGAGCUAAUACCGGAUAACACCGAAAACCGCAUGGUUUUCGGUUGAAAGGCGGCUUUUACCUGUCACUGCAGGAUGGGCCCGCGGCGCAUUACCUAGUUGGUGAGGUAACGGCUCACCAAGGCAACAAUGCGUACCCAACCUGAAAGGGUGACCGGCCACACUGGGACUGAAACACGGCCCAAACUCCUACGGGAGGCAGCAGUAGGGAAUCUUCCGCAAUGGACAAAAGUCUGACGGAGCAACGCCGCGUGAGCAAAAAAGGUCUUCGGAUCGUAAAGCUCUGUUGUCAGGGAAAAACAAGUACCGUUCGAACAGGGCGGUACCUUGACGGUACCUGACAAGGAAGCCACGGUUAACUACUUGCCAGCAGCCGCGGUAAUACGUAGGUGGCAAGCGUUGUCCGGAAUUAUUGGGCGUAAAGCGCGCGCAGGCGGUUCCUUAAGUCUGAUGUGAAAUCUCGCGGCUCAACCGCGAGCGGCCAUUGAAAACUGGGGAACUUGAGUGCAGGAGAGGGAAGCGGAUUUCCACGUGUAGCGGUGAAAUGCGUAGAAGAUGUGGGAGGAACCACCAGUGGCGAAGGCCGGCUUCUCUGGCCUGUAACUGACGCUGAGGCCGCGAAAGCGUGGGGAGCGAACAGGAUUAAAUACCCUGGUUAGUCCACGCCGUAAACGAUGAGUGCUAAGUUUUAGAAGGGUAUUCCACCCCUUUAGUGCUGCAGCAAACGCAUUAAGCNCCUCCGCCCUGGGGAANUACGNCGCAAGCCUGAAACCCAANGNAUUGACCGGGACCCGCNNAGCGUGAGCAUGUGUUUAAUUCGAAGC
rnacentral:rRNA from 1 species